UACGCAGGGGGCUAGCGUUGUUCGGAAUUACUGGGCGUAAAGCGCACGCAGGCGGUUCGAUUAGUCAGAAGUGAAAGCCCCGGGCUCAACCUGGGAAUUGCUUUUGAUACUGUCGAGCUUGAAUCACGGAGAGGGUAGUGGAAUUCCGAGUGUAGAGGUGAAAUUCGUAGAUAUUCGGAAGAACACCAGUGGCGAAGGCGACUACCUGGCCGUCGAUUGACGCUCAUGUGCGAAAGCGUGGGGAGCAAACAGG
rnacentral:rRNA from 1 species